rnacentral:rRNA from 1 species
GAUCAUGGCUCAGGAUGAACGCUGGCGGCGUGCCUAACACAUGCAAGUCGAGCGAGAAACUUUUAAAUGAAACUUCGGUAGAUUUUAAAAGCGGAAAGCGGCGGACGGGUGAGUAACGCGUAGGCAACCUGCCCUUUUCAGAGGGAGUAGCAUCUGGAAACGGAUAUUAAUACCUCAUAAUACUAAACUAUCACAUGAUAGAGUAGUCAAAGAUUAUCGCAAGGAUGGGCCUGCGUCUGAUUAG